rnacentral:rRNA from 1 species
UGACGGGGGCCCGCACAAGCGGUGGAGCAUGUGGUUUAAUUCGACGCAACGCGAAGAACCUUACCUGGCCUUGACAUCCAGAGAACUUUCCAGAGAUGGAUUGGUGCCUUCGGGAACUCUGAGACAGGUGCUGCAUGGCCGUCGUCAGCUCGUGUCGUGAGAUGUUGGGUUAAGUCCCGUAACGAGCGCAACCCCUAUCCCUGGUUGGUAGCAGGUAAUGUUGAGAACUCCAGGGAGACUGCCGGUGACAAACCGGAGGAAGGUGGGGAUGACGUCAGGUCAUCAUGGCCCUUACGGCCAGGGCUACACACGUGCUACAAUGGCGCGUACAGAGGGCUGCCAACUCGCGAGAGUGCGCCAAUCCCUUAAAACGCGUCGUAGUCCGGAUCGGAGUCUGCAACUAGACUCCGUGAAGUCGGAAUCGCUAGUAAUCGCGAAUCAGAAUGUCGCGGUGAAUACGUUCCCGGGCCUUGUACACACCGCCCGUCACACCAUGGGAGUGGAUUGCACCAGAAGUAGUUAGUCUAACCUUCGGGAGGACGAUUACCACGGUGUGGUUCAUGAUCUGGGGUGCAGUCGUAACAAGGUAGCCG